rnacentral:rRNA from 1 species
UGCCAGCAGCCGCGGUAAUACGGAGGGGGUUAGCGUUGUUCGGAAUUACUGGGCGUAAAGCGCACGUAGGCGGAUUGGAAAGUUGGGGGUGGAAUCCCAGGGCUCAACCCUGGAACUGCCUCUCAUACUGGCGAUCUGGAGUUCGAGAGAGGUGAGUGGAAUUCCGAGUGUAGAGGUGAAACUCGUAGAUAUUCGGAGGAACACCAGUGGCGAAGGCGGCUUUCUGGACCAAUACUGACGCUGAGAUGCGAAAGCGUGGGGAGCGAACAGGAUUAGAUA